rnacentral:rRNA from 1 species
CCUACGGGUGGCAGCAGUAGGGAAUAUUCCGCAAUGGAGGAAACCCUGAUGCAGCAACGCCGCGUGAGUGAAGAAGGAUUUCGGUAUGUAAAGCUCUGUCAGCAGAGUAGAAAAAGACGGUAAGUGAUUAAGAGGCCCCUGCUAACUACGGGCCAGCAAGCGCGGUAAUACGUAGGGGGCAAGCGUUAGCCGGAUUUACUGGGCGUAAAGGGAGCGGAGGCGGGAGCACAAGUCUGGAGUGAAAUGCCGGGGCUUAACCGGGGAACUUCAUUGGAAACUGGGCAGCUAGAGUGCAGGAGAGGAGAGUGGAAUUCCUAGUGUAGCGGUGAAAUGCGUAGAUAUAAGGAGGAACACCAGUGGCGAAGGCGGCUCACUGGUCUGUAACUGACGCUGAGGCUCGAAAGCGUGGGGAGCAAACAGGAUUAGAUACCCCUGUAGUC